AAUCUCGGAUGCCUACCUUGCAUUGCAUUGCAUUGCAACAUCCCUGAUAUUUUACCUAGUUGUGGGCCCCAGCUGUCAUCUCCUCCCGUGCCUAUCCUCGCUCUCGAAGCCUCCCGAACCGGCCAGCUCGCUCCCGUGCCCAACUUUGCCACGGCGCCGUCCGUGCGUCUGUUGUUCGCCGCGAGCCGUGCGCACGCGCCUCUGUGUCGCGCCGCCGAGCGCCCACACUUCGUCCGGCCCUGCGGAACCCUCCCAUGGCCGCCCUGUCACCGGCCACUCACCGGAGUGCCGCCACACGCCGCCACCAUCGCCAUCCGAAGUACUGCUCCCGGCGCCGCCCCUCCUCCGGCCACCCCGGCAUCAACCGAGACCACCCACAGCAUCAAGUUUCAUGGGUUCAAUUAGGGCUUCGGCAACUGGAAGCCGGAAGGCAUGAACUAUGAAGAACAUAUUAAAGGUUUGUAUGGCCUCUGGCAUAUACGAUCCAAAAUGACAACGAAAGCCAUGACCAUUGAGCGAUCGACAUUUGGCAUGAUGGUAAGGCUGAAGACAUCUUCGCCAAGUGUGACCGUCUCCGACACUGCGCCGGCUUUCUUCCUAGUUAUCCUAGCCACCUCCUCCCCGUUGCCUUUUCGGAUCUUGCAGCUUCUCCUCCAGAAGCUACCCUGCACCCUGAAGGUAGGAGCUUGGGAGUCAUGAUCUGAUGAAGCGGUGCAUCCUGAUAUGUGCACCUCUGCUUCCUCAUUGCUUUUUGCAAGUGAGCAUUUCCUCAUGGAGAAGAGGUGUUGCCGCCUGGAGGAGCUCUUGUCACCAGCUUCUUCUGAUGCUCUGUAACAGUUCCACUGAUCGCGCAUGCUGAAAAUCUGCCGCGGCAAGAGGGGGCAUUGUUAGUGUCAUAAUAUUUGGUAGUUGCAAGGUUGUUCUGCUUUGUCAAAACUGCCGGGCAGAGAAAAAUUAACCAGGGUCCAGGGGAGAUACUACUGAUGCUGCAAUAUGUUUAUUUUAUUUUGCUGCUAUUGUCGUAUCUUUAUUGCAAACUACAGCUGUAAGCCUGUGACAUGUAUUACAAAGCAUGAAGAGGAAAAUUAUGGGCGAAAGGCAUAUGAGAGAAAACAAAGCAUUUUGUGUGCAAGCA